rnacentral:sRNA from 1 species
UGAGACCCUCUUUCUUUCUUCUUCUCUUUCUUUCUUUCUCUGCACACUCUCUUCUCUCUCGAAACCCUCUCAUCACUCUCACUCUCUCUCCCGUGAUUACCCUAGUACACGGCACCCAUACCAUCGUUCCGUAGACGGCAUCACCAUCAAAACCUCGUCUUUCUCUCUCUUCCUUUUGUCUCUGCAAGAUCGAUGAAACCCAGAAACCUCCGGCGAGUUUUCUUCAUUUUCUCCGGUUUUGGAACGAGAUCAGGUCGGGGGAAAGCUCACCCAACUCCGGCGAACCCGUGACUGUUGAGAAACUUUCCGAACACCUUUGGCCAUUUCACGGCGAACCAAGCAAAAUAAAAGUGGGAAAGGGUCUCUUUCCAACACGCUACCAACUCCCCUUGUACAGGGCAGUAGUUGGCAGCCGUCCAACGUAGGUCAUGUGCGCGGUUGCGGCGGUGGGCCCUCCAACCUUUCACUCAGCUCUCUGGGCCCCGUACCUACUAUCCUCAACGCGACAAAGAGCUCACCUAAUUAAUUAAUUAAUUAUUUGUACCUGUCCUGCUACAAUAUGCCUGCUUUUAUAUUAUUUAUCUU